UACGAAGGGGGCUAGCGUUGUUCGGAAUUACUGGGCGUAAAGCGCACGUAGGCGGACAUUUAAGUCAGGGGUGAAAUCCCAGAGCUCAACUCUGGAACUGCCUUUGAUACUGGGUGUCUUGAGUAUGGAAGGAGGUGAGUGGAAUUCCGAGUGAUAGAGGUGAAAUUCGUAGAUAUUCGGAGGAACACCAGUGGCGAAGGCGGCUCACUGGUCCAUUACUGACGCUGAGGUGACGAAAGCGUGGGGAGCAAACAGG
rnacentral:rRNA from 1 species